GGCGAACGGGUGCGUAACACGUGAGAAACCUGCCCUGGAGAUCGGGAUAGCCCGAGGAAACUCGGAUUAAUACCGGAUAUGCUCACAGGACCACAUGGUCUGGUGAGGAAAUAGUCCGCUGCUCCAGGAUGGUCUCGCGGCCUAUCAGCUUGUUGGUGAGGUAAUGGCUCACCAAGGCUCCGACGGGUAGCUGGUCUGAGAGGACGAUCAGCCACACUGGGACUGAGACACGGCCCAGACUCCUACGGGAGGCAGCAGCAGGGAAUAUUGCACAAUGGGCGAAAGCCUGAUGCAGCGACGCCGCGUGCGGGAUGAAGGCCUUCGGGUUGUAAACCGCUUUCAGGAGGGACGAAAAUGACGGUACCUCCAGAAGAAGGCCCGGCCAACUACGUGCCAGCAGCCGCGGUAAUACGUAGGGGCCAAGCAUUGUCCGGAUUUAUUGGGCGUAAAGGGCUCGUAGGCGGUUUGACAAGUCGGACGUGAAAACCCGGGGCUCAACCCCGGGACGCCGUUCGAAACUGUCAUGACUAGGGUCCGGUAGAGGUGAGUGGAAUUCUCGGUGUAGCGGUGAAAUGCGCAGAUAUCGAGAGGAACACCAGUAGCGAAGGCGGCUCACUGGGCCGGUACCGACGCUGAGGAGCGAAAGCAUGGGGAGCAAACAGGAUUAGAUACCCUGGUAGUCCAUGCCGUAAACGUUGAAUACUAGGUGUGGCGAGUUAAUCCAUACUUGCCGUGCCGCAGCUAACGCAUUAAGUAUUCCGCCUGGGGAGUACGGCCGCAAGGCUAAAACUCAAAGGAAUUGACGGGGCCCCGCACAAGCGGCGGAGCAUGCGGCUUAAUUCGAUGCAACCCGAAGAACCUUACCUGGACUUGACAUUAUGGGUCUAUCCCUAGAGAUAGGGAGUGCUUAUGCGCCCAU
rnacentral:rRNA from 1 species